rnacentral:rRNA from 1 species
AGCGAACGCUGGCGGCAGGCCUAACACAUGCAAGUCGAACGAACUCUUCGGAGUUAGUGGCGGACGGGUGAGUAACACGUGGGAACGUGCCUUUUGGUUCGGAACAACUCAGGGAAACUUGAGCUAAUACCGAAUGUGCCCUUCGGGGAAAGAUUUAUCGCCAUUAGAGCGGCCCGCGUCUGAUUAGCUUGUUGGUGAGG